rnacentral:pre_miRNA from 1 species
CAUAUACUCUCUUUGUCUGGAAUUACUUGUCGGAGAAGAUGUAUCUAGACUUAUUUUAGUUUUAAUAUAUCCAUUUUUACCCAUUUAUGUGACAAGUAAUUUUGGACAGAGCGAGUAUAAU